AGAACGAACGUUGGCGGCGUGGAUUAGGCAUGCAAGUCGAACGAGAACCCCGCAAGGGGGGAAAGUGGCGAAAGGGGCAGUAAUGCAUGGGUAAUCUACCCUGGGGACGUGGAUAGCUAUCCUAACGGGUAGGUAAUACACGGCGAUUCGGCGCGGGGGCAUCUCCGUGCCGGGAAAUGAAUUUCGCCUCGGGAGGAACUCAUGUCGUAUUAGCUUGUUGGCGGGGUAACGGCCCACCAAGGCAAAGAUGCGUAGCGGGUGUGAGAGCACGACCCGCGCCACUGGCACUGAGACACUGGCCAGACACCUACGGGUGGCUGCAGUCGAGGAUCUUCGGCAAUGGGCGCAAGCCUGACCGAGCGACGCCGCGUGUGCGACGAAGGCCUUCGGUUGUAAGCACGUGUCGAGGGGAGGAAGCGAAAGGUGACCUAUCCUGGAGAAGCACGGCUAAGUUCGUGCAGCAGCCGC
rnacentral:rRNA from 1 species